AGGUGUUCAGAAUCACUUCAUACUUUUAGGCAGGUGUGUUGAACCAGGUUUGAGUUAAACUCUACCUGCUUCCUCUCCAGGAGCAGGAUUAGACACCCCUGAUUUAAGUGACAUGAGUGUGUUACACUAUUAAAUCUUAUUUUGGUGAACAAAAAGUUAACAAACACAUCAUUGUUGAUUUAUUUACAAUAAAAGUAUACAAGUGUAAGUGUGCAAAUUUUCAUUUUUUCAAAAGCAUCGAAGAACGAGGGAGGGGGAAAAAUGAUAAAGAAAACCAAAGGAUUGAAAGAAUAAAACUGGUACUUUAACCAUUAUAUAUUUUACAGACAACAAAGCAAAAGAUGAGGACAGCAGAAUUGCUGGGUCUGCCAUGGUACAUGCAAGAGACUCCCAAAACAUUCAUGAAGAUAUGUGAGCCCAGUGACCGUGAAGAGGAUGUGAUUCAGGGUUUGGUGAUUGAAAUUCUUAUGGUUGUGGAAUAUGUGAUGGAACCUCUCUCAGCAUUCUACAAUGAUGUUCCCCUGGUGAUUGAGGAAGAAGUGGUCAGGGUUUUUCAUGCUGGAACACCGUUCAUUACAAUGAGACGAUGAUGUAAGAUGACGAGCCAAACCACGGAGACGAAGCUGACUGAGGUGAACCCCUCAAACUAACCCAGGAACAGAGAAGGAACUUUCUGACCACCUGCUGGUUUUGCACAAACAGAACAAAAGUUUCUUUUUCUUGAGUGAGACUGCUGAAAGAAAUAUUUUUAAGAAGACAGAAUGUUUUAUGUUACAGAUUUUUCUAGAACUGUGGAAUCGAGUCAUUUUCCAGUGAAUCUUUUGAUUCAGACUCAAUUAAACGAACACUGUUGCUAACAUUA